rnacentral:rRNA from 1 species
GUGGGGAAUCUUCCGCAAUGGACGAAAGUCUGACGGAGCAACGCCGCGUGAGUGAUGAAGGUCUUCGGAUUGUAAAGCUCUGUUAAUCGGGACGAAAGAGCCUAGUGUGAAUAAUGCUAGGAAGUGACGGUACCGGAAUAGAAAGCCACGGCUAACUACGUGCCAGCAGCCGCGGUAAUACGUAGGUGGCAAGCGUUGUCCGGAAUUAUUGGGCGUAAAGCGCGCGCAGGCGGAUCUGCCAGUCUGCCUUAAAAGUUCGGGGCUUAACCCCGUGAUGGGAUGGAAACUACAGAUCUAGAGUAUCGGAGAGGAAAGUGGAAUUCCUAGUGUAGCGGUGAAAUGCGUAGAUAUUAGGAAGAACACCAGUGGCGAAGGCGACUUUCUGGACGAAAACUGACGCUGAGGCGCGAAAGCCAGGGGAGCGAACGGGAUUAGAAACCCCUGUAGUCC